rnacentral:rRNA from 1 species
UGGGGGAUAUUGCACAAUGGGCGAAAGCCUGAUGCAGCGACGCCGCGUGAGUGAAGAAGUAUUUCGGUAUGUAAAGCUCUAUCAGCAGGGAAGAAAAUGACGGUACCUGACUAAGAAGCCCCGGCUAACUACGUGCCAGCAGCCGCGGUAAUACGUAGGGGGCAAGCGUUAUCCGGAUUUACUGGGUGUAAAGGGAGCGUAGACGGCGAAGCAAGUCUGAAGUGAAAACCCAGGGCUCAACCCUGGGACUGCUUUGGAAACUGUUUUGCUAGAGUGGCGGAGAGGUGAGUGGAAUUCCUAGUGUAGCGGUGAAAUGCGUAGAUAUUAGGAGGAACACCAGUGGCGAAGGCGGCUUACUGGACGAUAACUGACGUUGAGGCUCGAGAGCGUGGGGAGCAAACAGG